AAGUAUCAUCAGCCUACCUGAGAAAAAUAUGUUUUUGCUACAUUUGUUAAGCAGGCCUAACUUCAGAAGGGCAAUCAUUUUCCACUGCAAAUGACUAACAUCUCUACACUUUACUUGUGGUUUUCUUUUCUCAAACAGGAGGAAGGCUGAGAAAGGACGGAAGGCUUUUAGGGAAAGCUUUGCGAGGUUGGGGAACUGAGAGCCAUCGUGAAACCAGAAACACCGGUACUGGCAUUGACUGUGUCUGCGGAAUUGCACUCAAGAGAAAUUGUCAGGAGACAGCUCCAACUCCAAAACCCAGUUGACAUCAUUGCCAGCCCCAAUCGACCCAACAUCAGACUCUCCAUAAGACGACUUUCGAGUGAGUCACUGGACUGUUUCGACUGGCUCGUGAAGGACUUGACAGAGAAAGGAGUGGAGAUGUCACCAGUCAAUAUAUACUGCCGGACAAUAAACACGAGGGAGAAAACGAUGCUUAAAGAAAGUCUAAAUGGCUGCUUUAGGAAAGCCCUGUAUGUACAUUUUGAGCCUCACGUGUCCAGUGUGGAGCCUGGCCAUUCCUGCUGCACCUAUUGCCACUCAUUAUGCAAGUGUAACUCUGACUGUUGCUCUGUGCCAAAACCCAACUUUGAAAUACCCAAACAAAUCCCGUCACCUGUCAAAUGCAGAAAUGUCACAUUGGAAGAGCAGGGACUGGUCAGACAGCUUUUGGAGGAGUAUAGGGAUAGCCUGAUUGCACUAGGUGAACUCCUUUACACAAAUGCCUCAUUCUGCACUGGUUUCAGCAAUGUACUAAUUUACUCAGUUUUGGAAAGUCUUUGUGAUAUGACAUGACUUGUCAUGCAGAAUCUCCCUGUAUUUGACAUAAAACAUGGCCAGGACAUCCUACGCAUUGUUCACAAAGUAUUUAAAGAUUUUGAUGUGUGUGAAUUCCCUGACAUUCCUGAAAAACCAUACCUGUCACCAGACAUGGACUUUCCAGUGUAUUUUGAUGUUGAGGAUGAGGAUGCUGCAACCUCUCUAAGCAGCAUUGAGUCAGGCUUAUCCAUGCUUCCAUUAUCAGAUUAAGUACAGAGCCACUGUAAAUAAUUGUAAAUAACUGCACACUUGUAUAUAUAGUAAAUAUCAUUCUGAAUAAAUACUUUUUACAUUUUUAAACUA